rnacentral:rRNA from 1 species
UACGUAGGGUGCGAGCGUUGUCCGGAAUUAUUGGGCGUAAAGAGCUCGUAGGCGGUUUGUCGCGUCGACUGUGAAAACCUACAGCUUAACUGUGGGCUUGCAGUCGAUACGGGCAGACUAGAGUGCUGUAGGGGAGACUGGAAUUCCUGGUGUAGCGGUGAAAUGCGCAGAUAUCAGGAGGAACACCGGUGGCGAAGGCGGGUCUCUGGGCAGUAACUGACGCUGAGGAGCGAAAGCGUGGGGAGCAAACAGG